GUGGGUGCUAGAAAGAUUCCAUCCAAGCUAUAGCAUGUGCGCCCUGCAAGGCAGUUUCCUGCAUAGAAAGAGAGUCUCCACCACGACAAAGGAUUUUCUCCUCCAUACCACUGCCAUCGCCAAUAGGCAACACACACACAGAGCAACAAUGGCGGGGGCUCUGGUGAGCGCGUCCACGGGGGCAAUGGGUUCCCUCCUGAGGAAGUUGGGAGCUAUGCUCACUGAUGAAUACAAGAUGCUCAAGAAUGUCCGUAACGACAUCAAGCUCCUCAAGGACGAGCUGGAGGUGAUGAACGCAUUCCUCCUGAAGAUGUCAGAUGUGGAGGAACCUGACGAGCCAACAAAACUGCGAGUGACGGCGGUGCGCGAGAUGUCCUACAAGAUAGAGGACAACAUCGACAAGUUCAUGGUCCUCGUGGUGGACCGUGAGUCCUGCAGUCCCGAGGCUCGUGGCAUCAGGAAGCUCAUCGACAAAUGCAACAGCCUGCUGCCAGACGUCAAGACCCGCCACAAGAUCGCCAAGGAGGUGAAAGACAUCAAGAACCAACUUAAGGAGGUCAGCGACAGAUUUUUAAGGUAUAAGACGGAUGAGUCCUCCUCUAUGCCUGCCAAAGACAAGGUAGACCCUCGACUUCGUGCGGUCUGGAGAGAUGCCACCGAGCUUGUCGGAAUCAAUGGACCAAGAGAUGAACUUGUCAAGUGGCUGAAUGAGAAAGAGGGCGAAUCACUUAGAUCUGUCUCUAUUGUUGGGUAUGGAGGGUUGGGCAAGACCACACUUGCCACCCAGAUCCGGGCCAACCUUGGAGCUGGAGCGACCUUUGAGUGUGGGGCUUUUGUCUCCAUUUCACGCAAGCCUGACAUGAAGGCGAUAUUAAGAUCUAUAUUAUCACAAAUCACCAAGCAAGACAAUGCUUACUCUGGAUUAGAUGAUAUACAACUCCUCAUGGACAAGAUCCGAGAAUUUCUCCAAGACAGAAGGUACUUUAUCAUAAUUGAUGAUAUAUGGGAGCCAGGAACAUGGGAAACUUUGAAAUGUGCAUUUGUCAAGAAUACAUGUGGCAGCAGAAUAAUGAUCACAACACGUAUAGUUGAUGUUGCCAAAUUUUGUUCUCCUUCUAAUAAAGAUCUUGUCUAUGAGAUGAAACCACUUAGUGAGGCUGACUCAAAGAAGCUAUUUUUCAAGAGGAUAUUUGGUUGUGAAGAAAGCUGCCCUGAUAAGCUGAAAGAAGCAUCCAAAGAUAUUUUGAAAAAAUGCCAUGGUCUACCUCUGGCCAUCAAUGCCAUUUCUAGCUUGUUGGCCACAACAACGGAAACGAAAGAAGAGUGGGAUCGGGUGCGACAUUCAAUUCGCUCUUCAAAGGCAAAAAGUGAUAUAAUAGAGACCAUGAAUUACAUAUUAUCUCUUAGUUAUUUUGAUCUUCCCCACCACCUAAGAAGCUGCAUAUUGUACUUGGCUCUGUUUCCUGAAGAUGAAUUGAUUGGAAGGCAGCGGUUGGUACGCAGAUGGAUUUCUGAAGGCUUUAUCCAUGGAGAAAAUGGGCAAGAUCUCAUGGAAUUAGGAGAGGAAUAUUUUCAUGAGCUUGUGAACAGAAGUCUAAUAAUGCCCGAGGAGAUAGGGUAUGAUGGCAAGGUGGGGUAUUGCCGAGUCCAUGAUACCAUCCUUGAUUUCCUCAUUGCCAAGUCCUCCGAAGAGAACUUGUGUACUGUCCUAAAAAAACAGUGCAAGCCUGAUGGCAUAGUUCGUCGGCUCUCUCUUAUGGGAACUGAAGAUGAAGAAAUUUUGGAGCAAUUGGAUUUGUCACACGCUCGGUCAAUCGGUGCUUUUGGGGAUAUCAAGCGAUUGCCUCCGCUUGGGAAGUCAAAAUCCCUGCGCGUGCUGGACGUGCAAGGCUGCUAUGAGUUGCAAAACCAUCAUAUCAAGGAUAUUGAAAGACUCUAUCAGCUGAGAUACUUGGAUAUCUCUGGUACAGGAAUCACGGAGCUUCCUAAGCAAAUUGGGGAGCUACAGUAUCUAGAGACGCUAAUUACAUCCUAUGAUUUAUGUGAGCUUCCUGAAAGCACAAGUCGGCUCCGACGACUGGCACGUUUGUUUGUUGGCCCUGAUUGUAAGCUUCCAGAUGGGCUGGGAAACUUGGUAAACUUGCAAGAGCUUGGAUGGAUCGAUGCCUUGAAGUUGAAGCAUGUGGAAGAGCUCGGAAAACUACCAAAUCUAAGAAAACUGAAGAUUAUUUUGCGCACUGAUGGGAUAGAAGGCAACAAAUUAGUACAGUCCAAGGAAAAGCUGGUGUCCGCUCUCUGUAAACUAGACGAAUGCGGCCUCUGUUCCCUGAGUAUUGAUUAUUACUUGGGAGAAAAGGAUGGAGAAGAGCCGUUCCUCCCUGCUUUGGGUUGCAUCCAUGAGGUUCGUGUAUAUGGGGGAGAUAUCUUCUGGAUUAUCAGAUGGCUCCCGUCACUUCCCAAUCUCCAGAAGUUGUAUUUCGCCAAUCCGAAGAAGAUAGAGCAGCAGGAUAUCGAGAUGAUUGGAUUGAUACCCAAUCUGCUCGAAUUGUCACUGCCCUUAUAUGGAAUAGACGAUACACAGGGGCUCAUCAUUAGGUGCAAAGGAUUUCAACAGCUGCAGAGUUUUGUGGUUUACUUUAGUCGUAUGGGAGGUCUAAUGUUUGAACCGGGGGCUAUGCCAAGGCUCAAGGAGCUUAAGCACCAUUGCUUAAAAGAAAAGCCCAAAUCUGAUGCGGGCGAUUUCGACUUCGGCAUCCAAUACCUCUCCAGCCUUGCUCACCUCACUGUCAACCUAUUCUGCAUUGACUCAACGGCUGCAGAAGUAAAGGCUGCGGAGGAUGCUUUCAAGAGCAUGGCUGAGGCAAACCCCAACCGUCCAACACUGAUGAUGACUAUCAAUUUGUAAAUCUGAAAAAUGCAAAGAGUAUUUCCGCAGGAUGUGUUACAAGACGAGCAAAUAGAUAUUGCAGGCUCAGGUACAACACAAGAAAAGGAAGAAUCCGCCUAGGUCGCCCCUACCUCUUUGUCUCAAAUUAAGCUGGUGUACCUGCUCAGCUGUGAUGUGUGUUGGAAAUUGAUACCAGUGCAUGUAUAUGUCGGAAGUGAUACAAAUUCAAUUGUGAUUUGGGUUGCACA